rnacentral:ncRNA from 1 species
CUGCGAUUAGCAGUGAGAGGUAGCAUACAGUCGUGAUGCCGUUAGAUGCUCUGGCUGCACGCGUGCUACAUGUAGAUCAUAGGACUGCGAGCUGAGAGGGUGCGCUACUCUAUAUCCCUAACGUAGUGGGAUGACGUUGUAAUCAGCGUCAUGAACCAGGAAUCCUUGUAAAUGUGUGUCAACAACGCACGUUGAAUACGUCCCUGCCCUUUGUACACACCGCCCGUCGCUCCUACCGAUUGGAUGACUCGGUGAAAUCACCGGAUGCUUACGAGCAGAAAGUGAUUAAAUCACGUUAUCUAGAGGAAGGAGAAGUCGUAACAAGGUAACGGUAGGUGAACCUGCCGUUGGAUCAGUU